CGUGCAUCUCGGCCGACUUCCUGCCAGACCACCACAUCCAGUCUUUCACAGGAAAUACCCAACUAACAAAUGCUCUGUGUUGGGACUUUCUCUUCAAAACGCCUGGCCUGGUUCAAGGGAAGCAAAAUUUGAAACACCCAUCUCGGUCGGGUACUCGUAAGGGCCUGCACAAGAAACGCCCGGACCAGCAGCAAUGUCUGCAGACACGGAACUGAGGACCCACUUAAGUGUUAACUCGUCUUGGAAACAGAAGGGUUCCGGGCCUGCAACCCUCCCUCUCUGAGAUCUGCAGUUCCGAGCAAAUCAACGAGGAGACUGCCUGCAGAAUUAGGCCUCAUAACCAGCCUGACAUCAAAACACAAAGAUGUAAUUAUUACCCAUUAAAACUGAACAUGUGUGAAA